rnacentral:rRNA from 1 species
CCUACGGGGCGCAGCAGUGGGGAAUAUUGCACAAUGGGGGAAACCCUGAUGCAGCGACGCCGCGUGAGUGAAGAAGCAAUUCGUUACGUAAAGCUCUAUCAGCAGGGAAGAAAAUGACGGUACCUGAGUAAGAAGCCCCGGCUAACUACGUGCCAGCAGCCGCGGUAAUACGUAGGGGGCAAGCGUUCUCCGGAUUUACUGGGUGUAAAGGGGGCGUAGACGGCAGUGCAAGUCUGGAGUGAAAGGCGGGGGCUCAACCCCCGGACUGCUCUGGAAACUGUACGGCUGGAGUGCAGGAGAGGUAAGUGGAAUUCCUAGUGUAGCGGUGAAAUGCGUAGAUAUUAGGAGGAACACCAGUGGCGAAGGCGGCUUACUGGACUGUAACUGACGUUGAGGCUCGAAGGCGUGGGGAGCAAACAGGAUUAGAUACCCGGGUAGUC